rnacentral:rRNA from 1 species
CUACGGGUGGCUCCAGUGAGGAAUAUUGCACAAUGGGGGGAACCCUGAUGCAGCAACGCCGCGUGGAGGAUGACGCAUUUCGGUGUGUAAACUCCUUUUAUAUGUCAAGAAAAUGACGGUAGCAUAUGAAUAAGCACCGGCUAACUCCGUGCCAGCAGCCGCGGUAAUAGCGGAGGGUGCAAGCGUUACUCGGAAUCACUGGGCGUAAAGGACGCGUAGGCGGGUUGGAAAGUCAGGUGUGAAAUCCUACAGCUUAACUGUAGAACUGCACUUGAAACUUCUAAUCUAGAGUAUGGGAGGGGGAGAUGGAAUUAGUGGUGUAGGGGCAAAAUCCGUAGAUAUCACUAGGAAUACCUAAAGCGAAGGCGAUCUCCUGGAACAUUACUGACGCUAAGGCGUGAAAGCGUGGGGAGCAAACAGGAUUAGAUACCCGUGUAGUC